AGUGAACGCUGGCGGUAGGCCUAACACAUGCAAGUCGACCGGCAGCACAGUAAGUGCUUGCUCUUACGGGUGGCGAGUGGCGGAUGGGUGGGGAAUACCUCGGCAUCUACUUAUUCGUGGGGGAUAACGAAGGGAAAUUUACGCUAAUACCGCAUACGACCUACGGGUUAUAGCAGGGGAUCUUCUGACCUUGCGCGAUUGACUGUGCCGAUGUCGGUUUAGCUAGUUGGCGGGGUAAAGGCCCACCCAGGCGACGAUCCGUAGCAGGUCUGAGAGGAUGGGUAGCCACACUGGAACUGAGACACGGUCCAGGCUCCUACGGGAGGCAGCAGUGGGGAAUAUUGGACAAUGAGCGCAAGCCUGAUCCAGCCAUACCGCGUGGGUGAAGAAGGCCUUCGGGUUGUAAAACCCUUUUGUUGGGAAAGAAAAGCAGCAGGUGAAUACACCGCUGUUCUGACGGUACCCAAAGAAUAAGCACCGGCUAACUUCGUG
rnacentral:rRNA from 1 species